AAAGUAAAAGGCAGGUAGAGACUAGAGAGAGACUGUGUGUUUUUGUGUGUGUGUGUUAGACUCUGAGAGAGAGAACAAAAACUAAAACAAACCAAACAGACAAAACUGACAAGUACCAAACCUAAAACCGCCACGAAAACGAUGAGUGAAAAAGUAGAAGACCACUCACCCGCCGCGGAAUGCGGCGCCGAGUCCGGGGACCCCGAGUUGGUUGCUUCAGAGGGUAUCGGCGGUGGCGGAAAAGUGAAAGGACCGUGGUCGCCGGAGGAAGACGCCGUGCUGAGUCGACUCGUCAGCCAGUUCGGAGCAAGGAAUUGGAGCUUAAUCGCCCGCGGAAUUCCCGGGCGCUCCGGCAAAUCUUGUCGCCUCCGUUGGUGUAAUCAGCUCGACCCUUGUCUCAAGCGCAAGCCCUUCACUGAUGAAGAGGAUGAAAUUAUACUUAAGGCCCAUGCAAUUCAUGGAAACAAAUGGGCUGCAAUUGCAAAGCUCCUUCCAGGUAGAACGGAUAAUGCAAUCAAGAACCACUGGAAUUCUACCUUAAGGCGUCGGGGUGCAGAUCUAGGGAUGUGGAAGAUGGAAGAUAGCAACCUUGACAGAGCAAAAGUAUCUUCAGAAGAAACUGUGUCAGUUGGGGUUAUCAAUUCAUUCAGUCCCCCUGAAGGAGGAGAUGUCCCAAUGGAGGAUAGUCCCCUGCCAUGUGAAGAUAAAGCUCAAACAAAUGAGGAGCAUUUUGUUGCUGAAGAAAGAGAGCAUCCUACUCUCUCCCGUCCAGUGGCACGUGUUAGUGCAUUUAAUGUUUAUAACCCUCCUGGUGGCACAAACUCUUCUGUGUUUUCAAGGACAGUUCCUACUCAAGGACCUUUGGUUCAAGCUUCCAAACCAGAAUUAGGGGUAUGCAAAUUUCUUCAAGAUGUUUAUAGUGAGCCUAUGGUUCCUUUGCAAUGUGGCCAUGGUUGCUGUACAGAUUCACGUGGGGACCAUUCUCAUAGCUCGCUGUUGGGGCCUGAGUUUGUUGAAUAUAUAGAGCCUCCAUCUUUCUCUAGUCAUGAGUUGAUCUCCAUUGCUACAGAUUUGAACAAUAUUGCAUGGAUUAAGAGUGGCCUUGAGAAGAAUGGUGUCAGAAUGCCAGACGAUGCAGCAAGCCACAGAGUAUCUGAAGCGGUGGCUGCGGCCUCACAGUUGGGAACAUUUGAACAUAAUAUGAAGAAAGACCAUAUGGGUGUUGAAGAGGGACAUAACAAAUUGAUGGGUAUGAUGAAAGAUGUGCUAUCUACCCAGAUGCCUAGGCAAACUUUUCCAGGUCCGGCUGAAGUUGAGGGCUUGAGCUAAAAGCCAACGUUGGCUAAAUUUUAUAGAAGGCGGGAAUUUAUUUUUGUGAAGAAGAGGCUUCCAUAUUCCAUAUUCCAGUUGUCACCAUUAGAGGAUUAACUGUGCCAUCGUUAAGGCUAAUUGCUUGUGCAAAACUUAAAUUCAGUAGGCAAGGUAGUGUUGGUUCCUCAAAGUAGGCCCAAAUAAUGCUAGUCUUACCAUGGCUUGAUUGGACCCUACAGCCUUUUUUUUUUUUUUUCUUUUUUCUUCAGCCAUGGGUUUCGGCCUUUCAAGGUUCCCGAUUAGCAAAAAUAUAAAGCUAGGAGUUCUUACAUCUCCUGGAUAGAAGUAUUACAUAUUAUAUUUAAUUUCUACAUCAUAGGAGUUCUGAUCUGGAGCCAAAUUAAACAAUAAAGUUGUCUCU